GUGGGGAAUAUUGCACAAUGGGGGAAACCCUGAUGCAGCGACGCCGCGUGAGUGAAGAAGUAUUUCGGUACGUAAAGCUCUAUCAGCAAGGAAGAAAAUGACGGUACUUGACUAAGAAGCCCCGGCUAACUACGUGCCAGCAGCCGCGGUAAUACGUAGGGGGCAAGCGUUAUCCGGAUUUACUGGGUGUAAAGGGAGCGUAGACGGUAUGGUAAGUCAGAUGUGAAAGCCCGGGGCUCAACCCCGGGACUGCAUUUGAAACUAUCAGACUAGAGUGCAGGAGAGGUAAGUGGAAUUCCUAGUGUAGCGGUGAAAUGCGUAGAUAUGGGGAGGAACACCAGUGGCGAAGGCGGCUUUCUGGACGGUGUCUGACACUGAGGCGCGAAAGCCAGGGGAGCGAACGGGAUUAGAUACCCGAGUAGUCC
rnacentral:rRNA from 1 species